AUACUCUGGUUUCUCUUCAGAUUGAAUAAAUAUUUCGCCUUUUACUAAAGAUUUCCGUGGAGAGGAACGACCACGAGUUUACACUGGCUGUGCUAAACUUGUACAAAAGUAG